rnacentral:lncRNA from 1 species
GGAAUUCCAUACCCCUCAAGACUGAAAUCAAUCCAAACCAAAUAUACAUAAUGCAUGCACAAAAACCUCUAAUAAAAUUCAAGUUCUGCAAUUCAAUCAGAAAACAAAAGAAUCUCCGGUAUCUAAUUGAUGCCCCCUGUUAGAAAUAACCUUGUGCUCGUAGCUUACAUGUUGUCUUUACAGUUUCAGUUGGUUGUUUUCAUUAAGUUCAGGUAUAUAGCAUGCAGGUGCACGAGGCCAUGACUUGUGUGGAUCCCGUGCACGUUCUGCAGGUGGUGGCGAGAAUAGCUCAUUGCGACCGGGUCUUUAGGCAUGAAUGGGUUGUAACUUGAAUUGGAGGUCAUGGGGAUGGACGUGGCCAACGUUCCAGCACGAGACACGCUCUGUACAUGUAGGUCGUUUCCUAUAUAUGCUGAAUAAAAACAGAAAACGCAGCACUUCGUUCGCUGCACAAAAACUACCGAGUUCACGUCGCGUUCUAGUUCGUGUGUGUGUUCUCGGCGAUCCGGCUCGAGAUCGUGUUCCUGCGGCAUCCCGCCGAUGCAAGUCGCUGGAGUUUCGCCGUCAAGUGGUAUCAGGGCCAACAAGUGGCGCAGAAGCAUGUCUUCCGUAUCGGGGAGGUCGCCGCCGGGUGGAUCCCAGUCGCCGCUGCACGUGUGUGCUAGGCGAUCGCCCACGCGCUGGAACGGGCGUCGUCAGCGAGGUGUAGUACGUGAAGUCGUCGUCGAGCGAGUUGUGGAGAGGAUCGCGGCCUCGGGGCCGGCGAACUUUCCUGUUCUCACCAAGACCAACUACAAUGAUUGGUCAUUGUUGAUGAAGAUCAAGCUGGAGGCGAGGGGUCUCUGGAACGCCAUUGAUCCCGGUCGACCGCAUGGCGCUAGAUGCGUUGUGCAGUGCACUUCCUUCAGAGAUGCUGUCGACGGUUGGGAACAGGGGCUCAGCAAGAGAAGCUUGGGAGAGUAUCAAGACGAUGAGGAUCGGAGAUGAACGCAUCCGGAAGGCGAGUGCUCAGAAAGUGAGACGCGAUUACGAGACACUCGCGUUCCGGGAUGGCGAAUCCGUUGAAGAUUUUGCUCUGCACCUGAGUGGCGUGGUGAGCUAGUUGGCAAUCCUGGGAGAUCCGGAACUGGAGGAGAAGGUCGUCCAGAAGUAUCUUCGCAUGGCGCGCCCCAGGUUCAAACAACUCAUUAUUUCAAUUGAAACUCUUCUUGAUACAUCAACCUUGUCAGUGGAAGAGAUCACUGGUCGGCUCAAGUCAGCCGAAGAUGAUCCAGAAACACCAUCAGGCCAAUCCUCCGGGAAGCUGUACCUCACUGAAGAAGAAUGGAUAGAGAGGUACAAGAAGAAGGAGCAAGGAGGAGGGCGAGGUGGAAGCAAUUCUGGUGGCCGCAGUAAGCGUGGCCGUGGAAGAUGGCGCGGUAGAGGCGGCAGGAGCACUGAGGGUUCUGGGGGAGGAUCCUCCAGAAACAAUGACAAGUGUAGAAGUUGUGGAAAGAUGGGACACUGGGCAUAUGAGUGCAAGAGCAAGCCCAGGAAGGAGGAGCAAGCUCAUGUAACCCAGGACAAUGAGCAAAGUCUGUUGUUCCUUGAAGUAGCUUCAGAGCCUGUCCCGGCAUUAUCAGAGCCGGGGGAGAACCUUGUGGCAAGAAAGCAGUUGGGAGAUGCAACUGUUAAUGAGAAGGAAGCCAUGCCUACAUCAAGAGCAAAGAAUAGUAGGAUGGUGCAUCUUGCCGAAGGAAAGGUGUUUGCAGCACUUGGAGAAGAAGGGGAUCGAGACUCUCGCCGGUGGGUAUUGGAUACUGGAGCAACCAACCAUAUGACAGGGUCAAGGUCAGCAUUCUCCAGUAUUGAUUCAAGCAUCACAGGCACAGUUAGGUUUGGAGAUGGAUCAGUGGUUCGCAUUGAGGGACGUGGCACAAUUCUUUACUCAUGUAAGAAUGGUGAGCACCGAAGUCUGCAGAAUGUAUAUCUCAUUCCACGCCUCACAACCAACAUUAUCAGCAUUGGUCAGCUUGAUGAGAGUGGGCACCCUGUUCACAUUGACAAUGGUGUAAUGAGAAUUCGUGAGGAAGAUGGAAGAUUGCUUGCCAAGAUCCACAGAAGUACUUCACGACUGUAUGUUCUUGAGCUGAACAUUGCAAGGCCAGUAUGUUUAGCAGCACAUGCUGAGGAGGACGCCUGGAGAUGGCAUGCUCGUUUUGGGCACUUAAACUUUGGCUCGUUGAGAAAGAUGGGAAAGGAAGGUCUUGUGCGUGGACUGCCGAUGCUGAAUCAAACUGAGAAGUUGUGUGAAGCUUGCUUGGCAGGAAAACAACGGCGAGCUCCAUUUCCCCAACAAGCAAGAGGUCGUGCAGAGAGACCGUUGGAGCUCCUUCAUGGUGAUCUUUGUGGACCGAUCACCCUAGCAACCCCAAAUGGGAAUAGGUAUUUUCUUCUCCUGGUGGAUGAUUUCAGUCGCUAUAUGUGGAUAGCACUGCUUCCUAGCAAGGAUGGGGCAGCCACUGCGAUUAAAAGGAUUCAAGCAGCAGCAGAAAGAAAAAGUGGCAAGCAACUUGGAGCCUUACGUACAGAUAGAGGAGGUGAGUUUACUGCAACACAGUUUUCUGAAUACUGUGCAGAACUUGGUGUAAGGUGUCAGAUCACUGCACCCUACAGCCCUCAGCAAAAUGGGGUUGUGGAACGUAGAAAUCAGUCAGUUGUGGGCACGGUGCAUGCUCAAGGCAAGAGGCUUACCUGGUUUGUUUUGGGGGGAAGCUGUUAAUGCUGCAGUAUACCUUCUGAACCGGUCGACAUCAAAGGGAGCUGGGGGCAGGACCCCUUAUGAGCUUUGGACAGGAAGUCUGCUAGCGGUUCAUCAUCUUCGGAUUUUUGGGUGUUUGGCACAUGUGAAGGUUACAGCACCACAUCUGAAGAAACUUGAUGAUAGGAGCUGACCGAAGAUUUUUGUCGGAUAUGAACCAGGUUCAAUGGCCUACCGAGUGUAUGAGCCAAGAAGCCGAUGAGUACACAUAAGUAGAGAUGUGAUCUUCGAUGAGAGUGCUCAGUGGAAGUGGGAUGUAGGGUCUGAAAGGAACACUGAAAUGGAGUUCACUAUUGCAGAUUUCCCAUACACACAGAUGCAAAAGGAGUGGUGUGCAGAUGCUGAACCAGGUGAACAUCCAAGUGCAGAUAUUUUAGAAAUGCCAUAGUAUUCGGCAAGUCCGGGUAAUGCAGUCUCUUCAGAAGUUGCUGCAACAACAUCUAGCUCUCGGUCAGUUGAAGGAUCCAAGUCCACACCCCUGAAUGGUUCACCUACAACACCAACAGCAGACAGAAGCACCAGUGCAGUUUGCAUCUCCACCAACACAAGCUGGUGAUGAUCUGGAUGCAGAUCACAAUGAAGAAGCACCAAUUCGAUAUCGUAGCAUGUCAAAUGUCCUUGGUUCAGGAGAAACUCCAGGGAUGGCCCUUCGAGAGUUAUAGGAAGACCUUCUUCUGACUGAAGGAGAGGAGCCGGCAUCAUUUUCACAAGCUAAAAAAGAAGAACCCUGGAGACGUGCUAUGCUAGAAGAAAUAUCUUCAAUUGAAGAGAAUGAAACUUGGAGCCUGGUUGAUCCUCCAACUGAUCAAAGACCCAUUGGUCUCAAAUGGGUGUUUAAGUUGAAAAAGGAUGCAGCAGGGAAGGUGGUGAAGCAUAAAGCAAGGCUUGUUGCAAAAGGUUAUGUGUAGAGGGUUGGAGUAGAUUUUGAUGAGGUGUUUGCUCCUGUAGCGAGGCUUGAUUCAGUCAGAUUGCUCUUGGCACUUGCAGCACAACAAGGAUGGUCAGCACACCAUAUGGAUGUCAAAUCUGCAUUUCUGAAUGGGAUUUUAGAAGAAGAAGUGUAUGUGGUGCAACCUCCAGGAUUUAUUGUUGAUGGGCAGGAGCACAGAGUGUAUAAACUGAAGAAAGCAUUGUAUGGGCUAAGACAAGCUCCAAGAGAUUGGAAUACAAAAUUGAUUCCACCCUCAAGAAGUUGGGUUUCAGGCAAAGCCCUUUAGAGCAUGGAUUGUACUCCAGAGGAACAGGUAACUCAAGAAUACUUGUGGGAGUAUAUGUUGAUGAUCUUGUGAUCAUUGGUGGAAAUGAUGAAGAAAUCAAUGGGUUCAAAAGGCAAAUGAAAGCUCAGUUCAAGAUGAGUGAUCUUGGACUUCUAAGUUUCUACCUGGGAAUUGAAGUUCAUCAAGCUGAGGGAUGCAUCACUCUCAGCCAAGCAGCUUUUGCAGCCCACAUUGUUGAAAAAGCUGGUCUCAUGGAUUGUAAUCCAAGUGCUACACCCAUGGAGCCCAAGCUGAAAUUAAGAAAGAAGAGUACAGCACCAUUGGUGGAUGAAACAGCUUACAGAAGUCUUGUAGGAAGUUUGAGGUACUUGGUUAAUACAAGACCUGAUUUGGCAUUUUCAGUAGGCUAUGUGAGCAGGUUCCUAGAGAGGCCAACAGAGGAACAUUUACUGGCUGUCAGGAGAAUCAUUCGUUUUGUAGCUGGGACCAUUCAUCAUGGGUGCAAAUAUGUGAGGAAUGAUAACCGGAAAUUACAUGGUUACAGUGACAGUGACCUUGCAAAUGAUGUUGAUGAUAGGAAGAGUACAACUGGUGCAGUGUUCUUCUUGGGUGACAAUCCAGUUAGUUGGCAAUCACAGAAGCAAAAAGUGGUGGCCCUCUCUUCUUCUUCUUGUGAAGCUGAGUAUAUUGCAGCUGCUACUACAACCUGUCAGGGUUUGUGGCUGAGCAGGUUGCUUGGAGAUAUCAGAAACACACAGGCUGAAGCUGUAAGUCUGAUGGUGGAUAACAAAUCUGCUUUGGCACAGAUCAAGAACCCUGUUUUCCAUGACAGAAGUAAACAUAUCCAGACCAGGUUUCACUUCAUCAGAGAAGCAGCAGAGAAUGGGGAGAUCAAGCCAGACUACAUAUGCACUGGAGAUCAACUUGCUGACAUCUUUACCAAACCACUUCCAGGUGUUCGGUUUCAGAUGCUGCAAGCUCGUUUUGGAGUAGGAAAUGUAAGAGCACAAGCUUAGGGGGAGAAUUGUUAGAAAUAACCUUGUGCUCGUAGCUUACAUGUUGUCUUUACAGUUUCAGUUGGUUGUUUUCAUUAAGUUCAGGUAUAUAGCAUGCAGGUGCACGAGGCCAUGACU